rnacentral:rRNA from 1 species
GAAUAUUGGGCAAUGGGCGCAAGCCUGACCCAGCCAUGCCGCGUGAGUGACGAAGGCCUUAGGGUUGUAAAGCUCUUUUGGCGGGGACGAUAAUGACGGUACCCGCAGAAUAAGCCCCGGCUAACUUCGUGCCAGCAGCCGCGGUAAUACGAAGGGGGCUAGCGUUGUUCGGAAGCACUGGGCGUAAAGCGCACGUAGGCGGACUUUCAAGUCAGGGGUGAAAUCCCGGGGCUCAACCUCGGAACUGCCUUUGAUACUGUUGGUCUCGAGUCCGAUAGAGGUGGGUGGAAUUCCUAGUGUAGAGGUGAAAUUCGUAGAUAUUAGGAAGAACACCGGUGGCGAAGGCGGCCCACUGGAUCGGUACUGACGCUGAGGUGCGAAAGCGUGGGGAGCAAACAGG